rnacentral:rRNA from 1 species
AGGAUGAACGCUGGCGGUGUGCCUAAUACAUGCAAGUCGAACGGGAUCUUCGGAUCUAGUGGCGGACGGGUGAGUAACACGUUGGUACCUACCCCUAAGUGGGGAAUAACUGCCCGAAAGGGUGGCUAAUACCGCAUAAUCCCGCAAGGGUAAAGCAGUAAUGCGCUUAGGGAGGGGCCUGCGUCUGAUUAGCUAGUUGGUAGGGUAAUGGCCUACCAAGGCGACGAUCAGUAGCUGGAUCGAGAGGUUGACCAGCCACACUGGGACUGAGAUACGGCCCAGACUCCUACGGGAGGCAGCAGUAAGGAAUCUUCCACAAUGGACGAAAGUCUGAUGGAGCAACACCGCGUGCAGGAUGACGGUCUUCGGAUUGUAAACUGCUUUUUAUAUGGGAAGAUUAUGACGGUACCAUAUGAAUAAGGACCGGCUAACUACGCGCCAGCAGCCGC